rnacentral:piRNA from 1 species
UGAGCAUUGUGCCUCGUGCCUGUAAUCCCC